UCUCAACUAUAAGAUAGGUAGGUGAGAAAAUAUUUUUAUAUGCUUGAACCCGACCGACCAUCCCUUAGCUCGUAAGACAAGCCAUCGGACUUCUUACUUCCUCUCUUCACCCGUCGGCUUCCACAAGAAGUUAUUUGGAUUUUCUUCCUUCUCCUACAAGCCGGUUCCAAGGGACAAGAAAACAAAAUCCUCUCCUUCUCCCUUACACCCACCGACGGCUUCCAAGGCAAGACAAGUAGAAUCUUUCCUCAUUCCUCUUCACCCGUCGGUCCCAAGGCACACGAAGGAGAGAAAACUUCUCAAGUUUUCCUUCACACGAAGAACCCUUCGGUUUCCCCCCAGCCGCGCGAUCUCUUCUUCUCCUCAAGCCGAUUCUUCCACUUCCUAAACCUAAGAUUUCCACCGAAAAUCUUCAAGGAAAAUCAACCUCGUACGGAUGAAGAGGCUGUGGAGCUAAGCACUGCGGAGGAGGGAGGGGCCGAUGCUUAGAGUUUCCUUGACGGUUCGACCAUGAUGAGGAUGGUUAUGUUUUUUUUUUUUUUUGUUUUAUGAUGGGUCCCAUGUUGGGACAUUUUGUUGGCUUGACUUUUAAACAAUAUGCCUACGGGCAUGAUGUAAAUACAAUGGUGGGGUGAUGUUAAUGGCAUAGCUUCUAUGGUGGGGUGAUGGUAACCUCACAUAAGAUGGUUAAAUGCCUUUUUGUAUGGUUUGUAGGGACUAAGUCCCCUCUUACUUAGGACUUUUUGUGGUUGGUGAAUGGAUAAUGGACUCUUGAGAGUCCUUUAUUUAGAAUAUUGAAGAGAUCGUUUAUCAGGUGUUCCUUUUAAAUUAGAAGUGCAGAGUGCAUUCAUGACAUGUUCACGCAUGUCCCUUAUUAUCUCAAAAUAAAAAUAAAAAUAAAAUAGCACUAAUAAUAAUAAGGAAAGAACAGGUCACGCGUCGCAAUCCCAUCCUAGGAAUGAGACGGGGUUGUGACAUAUUUUAGCAAAACUUCAUAAUUUAUUUAACGAUGAAAAAAUAGUAUUUCUAUAAUUAAAGUUGAGUUUAGAUUUAUGAUAUGAUUUUUCUAUCUUAAUUCAUAUUAUUUUACUUAAUUUAUUUCAAUAUUUUAAUAUUCACCGUUAGAUCAAUAUGAAGAGCCAAGAUAAAGGGCCUAAAUUAAAACUUACUCUUCUCUUUUCUCUCUCUUUCCCCUUCCCCUUGCCGCCGACGGAACCCCCCCUCUUCCCUCUCUUCUCCUUCGGCCACUGCCCAGCAGCUGGCGACCACUGCAGUGCGUGCCACCACUAUCUCACCGACGAAAACCACUUGCCGAACCCAGCCUCUCCAUGACUCCUCUCUCGCUCUCCUCCUCCCCCAAAACGAGCUUCCUACCCUCUUAGCUUCUCCAUGUCACCGUCGCAACCCGCACCCAAGCCAUCGUCGUUCAUCAUCGACGGCACUGAGAGCCCCUUGCCGGCUCCCGCUGAUCAUCCCCCAGCUCCCCCACGAUCUCUUCAUUCACUGUAACUCCCUUGUCUUCAUCUGUGGGUAUGUUUUCUUCUCUUUAUUUUUUUGUUCUCUCUUUGGUGAUUUUGAGUUUGUUUUGAAGAGAAUAUUUGAAUGUUCGAGGAGUAUUUUUAUGAGUUAGAUCCUCGUGCCAUCUUCUUCAUCCAUGGGUAUAUUUUGUUCUCUCUGUGUUUUUGUUCUCUCUUGGGUGAUUUUGAGAUUGUUUUAAAGAGAAUAUUUGAAUGUUUGAGGAAUAUUUUUAUGGGUUAGAUCCUUGUGCCAUCGUCUUCAUUCGUGGAUAUGUUUUAUAAUAACUGUUUUUUUGUUCUCUCUUUGGUGAUUUUGAGUUUGUUUUGCAGAAAAUUUUGAAUGUUUAAUGGGUUUUAGAGUUUGGGUGAAAGUCAAAUAUUGGGAUUAAUUUUGGAUUUGGUGGGAUAGGUUUGAAGAGAGAGUGAAACUGUGAAAGUGAUGGGUUUUGGUGGGAGAGGUUUGAAUGACCAAAUACUUACUCCUCUUUUCUUCAAAUAAUCCUGUUUUCUUCAAAUAGAUAAUUUUGUAUUCUAAUUGUGAAAUAAAGGUGUAGUAUUAGGGCACUGAGUUGUAGUAUUCUAGUUCUCUUUCACUAACUUGUUCUCUUAGACAACAUUGGACAUUGAGUUCACAAGACUCGGAUCAUUGUUGCAAUCCCUGGCUCCUUUUUCUACACAUGGUAUGCUUUGCAGAAGCAUUGGCUUGCUCAUUGUAUACUAUGACUUACUUCAUGCAUUCAGUAUAAAUAGCAUCCUUCUGAAUGAAACCUUUUUGUUGAUAGUGUCUUUAUUCAAUAAGAUGCAAAAAUACUGUUAUUGAGCUGCUUUUAUUA